GACGAACGCUGGCGGCGUGCUUAACACAUGCAAGUGGAGCGACGAACCAGGCUUCGGCCUGGGGCAAAGCCGCGAACGGGUGAGUAACACGUGGGUAACGUGCCCCAAUGACCGGGACAACCCGAGGAAACUCGGGCUAAUACCGGAUGUGCUGCAGAGUCGUAAGUCUCUGCAACAAAGGAAGCUUCGGCCUCCGCAUUGGGAGCGGCCCGCGGCCCAUUAGCUUGUUGGUGAGGUAACGGCUCACCAAGGCUGCGAUGGGUAGCUGGUCUGAGAGGACGAUCAGCCACACUGGGACUGAGACACGGCCCAGACUCCUACGGGAGGCAGCAGUGGGGAAUCUUGCGCAAUGCGCGAAAGCGUGACGCAGCAACGCCGCGUGAGGGAAGACGGCCUUCGGGUUGUAAACCUCUUUCUAGGGGGACGAAGGUUCAGGCGCGAAUAGCGUCCUGGACUGACGGUACCUCC
rnacentral:rRNA from 1 species